ACUGGCAGCCAUAUCACCCUGUAGCCCAAGACUGGUUGCCCACUGAAGCUAAGCAGGGCUGAGCCUGGUCAAACUUUGCUGUUUCAGUG
rnacentral:rRNA from 1 species